rnacentral:misc_RNA from 1 species
AUUUACUUCGAAUUCUUACGAAGUUUUCAAUUUCGCUUUUCGAUCCAAUUCUACGCCCGGAAAACGCAAACUGUGCCUUUCAAUUUUGUUCCACGUUGUCGCGAUUUCCCCGGAGCCCUGUGGCUGAUUCAACAAGAUGAUGACGUGAUUUUCGCAAGAAAACCCUUGAAAUUGCGUAAACAAGUGCAAGACAUGACGUUGCUCACGAGUCAAGGGUCACACGCCAGAAAUACUCUGGAGAGCGAACCAAGGCACGAUAAAUAGUUGUUGAACGUAGUGCGGCAUCGCGGUCAGUGACACGUUUACGACAUCAU